rnacentral:tRNA from 1 species
GCCGUUUUAGCUCAGUUGGUAGAGCAACGCUCUAGUAAAGCGUAGGUCGCUGGUCCGAGUCCAGUAAACGGCA